GGCCUCGUGGCCUAAUGGACACGGCGUCUGACUUCGGAUCAGAAGAUUGCAGGUUCGAGUCCUGCCGGGGUCG